AUUAACAAUAACAAUGUAUGUAGUUAGGAACACAUUCUUGCACCAGGAUUGGACUUGAAAUCCUUGAGGGGCAUACUAACCGGAGUGUAAGUGCUCCGUCAGACUGAUGAUACUUUGAAGUAGCAAUCAUGGCACCACCCCUGGAUAAAUACCUUCCGCCUGGCUGCAAAUUUGUGCCUUCCCACGGCCCCCGCAAGGAUCCCAUUGUCCGAAGUCCACGACAUCGGCAGCAGCAUUGUCGAUCAGACUCCCCAGUACUGCACAGCCUACCCUGGAGUGGGGCGUCCUCUCCAUUCUCCCCAGCGACGAGUCCAUUAUGCUCUCCACCAAGGAGAAGAAUUUCCCCACCGAGGAGAGGAAUUUCUCCACCGAAGAGAGGAAUUUCUUCGCCCAGGAGAGGGAAUUCCCCGUCAACGAGUCAAGGAUGGUCCCCACCGAAGAGCCGAGCAAGCUCUCCCGUAAAAAGCUGUCCUAGCUCCCCAGCAGUAUCCUAUUCAUGCUGCCGGAGUAGACCCGACGGGCCGUGCUCCCCGCGACGGAUCAGUCGUGUCUGCUCGCCCACAGCGGGCUACUCGUGCCCGAAGCCUGAGAAACCCCGAUCCCCCACACAUGCAGGUCCUACUCCUCACACCCUCUGCGCCUCCCCUCUGCAUCGCAUUCGAACACCCAGUUUGUCCCCAACGGCCAAUCGAUCGAGUCCUCGCACACCAUCCAGAGUUCGUCAUGAGAAGAAGUGGGACAUGGGCGAGAGCCAUGAGGGACACCCCGGGAGGACCUUCGACGAGAUUGCAUUCAAAUUUCAGCUCAAACCUCGCAGACCGACGUCGGGCUCACUGGAGGAGAAAGCUGUGACAUCAUAUUGCCAACUGAAGGAGGGCCACCAGGUGCACCCUUAUGGCGAUCAAGGGAAUCUGCACGCACUCAGCGCGACGCAAAGCUGGAAGUCCACUCGCCCGUCAGGGUGGAGGGGAGGCCAUGCAUCACGCGGGGGUUGGGAUCCAUGCAUCCAGCGGAGGGGGCGCCAUGUGGUCGUAGCCGAAGUCUACUUGCCCCCGCCCAAUGCCAGGCCCUGGCCGCACCCGUGCGUGAGAAACAGGCCCUCCACCGUCGUCGCCCCGCGCCUGUUUCCACCCCAGGCCAACGAGGAACCUGCUCAGGCCAUUGCUGUCACCAAGCUCCGUCCACUGGAUCCCCUUGAUCGGGAUACCGAUCCCCUCCGCCAGGCGAGCGUUGCUGCCAUUGAUGUCGCGUCACGAGAGAGUGCAGGCUGGUGCCCAAGUUCUCCCUCGCCGCCUGCUCCCACUCCCUCCGCAUCGGAGAGUGCUGCCGGUGAUGCCCUUCUGUUGCCGAUGGCCAGACCCAGAGAGAAGGCACACUCCGGAAGGGCUGAGAUCAUUGUGGUCAACCACUUCAAAGUCAAGGAUACCUUUAAGUUUGGGAACAUCCAUGCCAAAAGGAUGACGGUGGUUCCCCCUGCUUCAGUGGACUUGCACAGAAAGAUUCUCGAGGUUUUGAAGGUUCGAAUGAAGGAAACAUUCGGGAGCAUACCCCUGCUGGUUUACGAUGGCAGAGAUUCUCUGUACAGCAAUAUGGCCUUCCCAUUUGGGACGCUCUGCGAGCGAUAUACUCCUUUGCCCUCAUUAAAACAGCAACCGCCACACUACGAUGUGAAACUGGAACCCAGAGGGCCGUUUCUAGGCAAUCUAUUGCAGAAGUACAUCGAGGGGGACGAUAUGCUUAGUCUGCACGAGGAGUACAUCAAUGCCCUGAGAGUCAUAAUGCAAGAGCACCAGCGCAACAGCAGCCGAGUGGUGCAGUCCGGGCCGUAUGCGUACUACCCAGACGCGUCCUACACAACCCCAGUCAACAAGUUCCUCAAUUCGUGCACGGGCUUCUUUAAAAGCUUGAGGCCAACGAAGCAAGGGCUGGUGUUGAAUGUGGAUGUGGCCCAGUGCUGGUUCUUUACGAAGGAUCUCAUAUCGAAAACCAUCCUGGACUAUGUGCUGGAAAUGAUGGCCAGGGACCGGCAGCUGGUGCCCAACAAACAGGCGGAGCUUAGCCCCCAACAGCGGGACUUCUGUCUCAAUCUUUUGGUGGGCACGAAGGUGAUACUGGAUUAUUACCCUGGAGAAGUGGUCAGGAAAUCCAAGGUCGAAGGGCUGUCACAUUCUGCAACCAGCAAGCUCACGUUCAUGAAACAGCCUGAGAACGUGGACAAUGUGCGUGUGACGGAUUACUUCAAGGAAAAGUACGCGAAGGAAGUGCAGUGGAAAAACUUGCCCUGCCUGAUCCUGAAAUCCACCAAUGGGAAAGUGUAUGUCCCUAUGGAGCUGGCCAAGCUCUCACCGAUGUCGAGGUUUGUGGGACAAGGAAUCGAGCGCGGUAAAAAAUUCGAUUUUCAUAAUUACUUGAGGAAUCCGGGUGCGAGGUGCAAACGAAUCGGUGAUAUGAUGGAAGAGAGAUACUCGGUCGACAUCAAUCGUCACAUCAGUGAUCCGUUUUGUGCUGCCUUUGAACUUGGCUUCCAAACGUCGAUGACGGAGGUGCAGAGCAGGGUGUUGAGAGCUCCGAUAAUUCAGUUCAAGGAUGGGCAGGAGCCCGUGGACCCUGGAAGGGUUGGGUUCUGGGCGUGGAACCACAAACAGGCCCUUCAAGGUUCCAGAAUCUGUUGGUGGGGGGUGUGUGACUUAACUGGAGGGAAGUUCACGAAGCGGACCGAGUGGAUCCAUUUCAUCACCAGCCGUGCAACUGAGAUGGGUAUAAAACUGCUGAAGCCCAUGACCACAGGCAGGGCCCAUGUCUGCCACCUAGAAUCUCUGAACACCACGUUUGCGUUAAUCCAAAACGCCAUCCCCCAGGGUGAAAAGGACAGAGGGGCUUUCUGCCAGUUGAUCCUAGUGAUCGUGGACGGGCACCGAAGCCCACUGUACAACGAGAUCAAGUACUUCGGUGACAUUGAGAAGGGUGUUCCUGUUCAAGUGGUCAACUACUACCCCUUGCAACAGAGCUACCUGGAUGACAAGUGCUUCAACAAGACGGCAGCCACCAAUCUGUUGCUGAAGGUGAAUGUCAAGUGUGGGGGUCGCAACUUCCGCCUCCACCAAACUCUCGACCAUGUCAGCAACCUCUCCAGCAUCCGGAACCGCACCUGCAUCUUCCUCGGGGCCGAUGUCUCCCACCCUGGUGUCGGUGACCACGAGGCGCCGUCCAUCGCGGCCGUUGUGGGAAGCAUCGACUGGCCUGACUCUGUACGUUUCAUUGCUCGCCACAGCGCCCAAAAACGAUACACGGAAAUAAUCCUCAACUUGCAGGAGCUCGUGUUAGACCUUCUUCGCGAGUGGCACCAAGCUAAUCGACAUUGCCUUCCCCAAGUGAUUAUAUUAUUUCGAGACGGAGUGGGACAAAGCCAAUUUCAAGAGGUUCUGGAGAAGGAGGUCAAUGCAGUCAAAGACGCUGCCCGUCAAGCCGCAGUGGAGCUCAGCUCCAUGUCGUCGUAUGAGCCGUGCAUUACGUUUGCGAUGGUGCAGAAAAGGCAUCAUACGCGGCUGUUCAGGAGAAUCUGCGACAGGAAGUACACCAAGGGCUUGUCCAACACUCCGUCGACGGCUCUCUCGGGGUGCCGGGAUCUGAACGUGCCUCCUGGCACGGUGGUGGAUGAUAAGAUCGUCCAUCCUCGCAACUUCGAUUUCUACUUGUGCAGCCAUUCGGGAGAGAAAGGCACCAGCAGACCAGCUCACUACCACAUUCUCUACGAUGGAACCGGAUUCAGUGCAGAUGACUUCCAGAACCUCACGAACAAGCUGUGCUACAUGUUCGGGCGGAGCACGAGAGCCGUGUCUAUAGUGACGCCGGCGUACUACGCUCAUCUGGCGGCGUGGAGGGCCAGAGUGUGGUACCAGGCCAUGAGGCAGAAGCGAAGCAGCAGCAUCAGCGUGGGAGGAGGAGGAGGAGGAGAGGGAGGGGUAGGGGGGAUUCGAUCCCAUGACUCCUACUAUUCGGUGGUGCCCCCUAGCGUGCACCCCCGGCUUCGUCUUCACAUGUAUUACCUAUAGCCCUCCUCCUUCCCUUCCAACUCCUAACUCCCCUCAAUUGGCUUCACCCCACCUUCUAUUCACAAGGUGGUUUUUAAUGACACAAUUUGAUACAUCGAAUCUAAAUGGAUAAUUUCAUGUAAAAAGAAAUAAAAGAAAUUAUUAAAAUAUUGAUGAGUUGGAAUAUAACAAAAUAUUCAAAUAAUAAAUCUAAAAUAUAAAAAGAGUUUUUUAUAUUAAAAAAUAAAAUAAAGAAUUAAUUAAAGAAUUGAUAAGGUUGAAGAUGAACUUAAUCUUGAUUCUAGUGUAUUAUCUUCAAAAAUAGAAUCUUGUUCUCAAAACUUUAUCAAUUUGUUACAUACUCUGAUAAUUAUCUCAAAAAAUGAGAAAUUAUGUAAAAUUUAUAUUAUUAAUUAUUCAAUGUUAAUAUUAACUAUUUUUUAAAAUUUUAUUUUUAAAAUAGUAACUAUAUCGAAAUUCAGGAUUUAUGAUAUCAUAUGAAAUCAAUUUAAAGUGAUAUUUUAAAAUUGGUUCCUUUUUUUUAAAAAAUCUUACAAUUAAUAUCUUCAUUGGCUAAAACAUAUCCAACAAAUGCAAUUUCUUCACAAUUUUGGCAUCCAUUCUAUUUCUUGAAAAAUACUAGAUACUUAAACCUGGUAAUAUAUUUAAAAUAAAAUAUAAGAUCAAUAUUUUGAAUCGUCUUAUUUUUUGGACAUCCAUAAGGGAACAUUAUGUAUUCUCACUUCUCAUUUCUUUUGUAUACCUACUUAUUAUGAUCUAAAAUAAUGAUUUUUCUCACAUUUGGCUUGAGAAUCAUCUCCACAUCCAUUAGCACCAAAGAUCUUAUUACCAUGACAAUCAAAUCACAAAAUAUGAACAAUAUGUUCCUCUACUACAUACCAAAAUUAUAUUAUUUUUAAUAUAAAAAAUGUUAAAAUGACUCAUCUUUUUACUAAAUUGACCCACCCUAUUGUGGGAAACAAGAAAGAAUAAGGGAGAUUGGAAUGAGAGCUAGAAAUGGGGAAGGAAAACAAGGUUGGUAUAAAGGCUACAAAAAAGAGGAAGUAGGAUUAGGAACAAGGGGGAUUGGAAUGAAGGCUAUGAUUGUAAUAAUAGUUUUUGGAGAUGAUCCAUUUCUCUAAUGAUGGUUACAAUACGAUGGACUGAUUUAGUAAAUAAGUGGAUUAUUUUGAUAUUUUUCUUUUAAUAUAUAUUAUGAUUUAUAAUAAUAUAUUAUUGUAUAAUUUUUAAAAAUGUAAAGUUCAUCCAAGAAGUGUACAAUAAAAUUUAAAUACUCAUUCAAACUAAAAUAAAACAGAUACAUCCAUUUAUUAUUAUGAUUAAGUUACAAACAAAUUGAGUUAUUUUAACAUUAAAAAAUAAUUGAAAAU